CGCGGGAGCACAAAAGUGUUGUUAAGGUUUUUAGUGGUUAAACCGGAUAAUCUACAAAAAAAUCAUAAUUUAUUUACUUAUAGUGAUUAUGUUUUAUCUGCUUUGUGUUUCCUAAAAAGUAUUAUUUGAUGGUAGUGCUAAACUCCGAAUAAAGCUUUUACAACACAAAAAUGGGACGGACCAAAGUAUAUACAUCAGAAGGUCAAGUUAUUUGGGUUGCAAAGAGUGAUGGAAGAUCAUCUAAUGCUCGCCAACCUGAGCGUACCCCAGAGGUGCUGUUUGAGUUUCAUGAUCUGGAACAACCACAAGAAUUAUCCGAUGUGGGAAAAUACGAGUCAGAAUACGUGGAAGAGGUCGUUCUAGAGGAUGAGAUAACCGAGCAUAGAGAUGAUGCUGCCGACCAAGGUAGUCUACAGACCUUUACGUCGCAUCAGGGCGCCACCAAGGCUAGAGUCACCAGACCUACGGUAUAAUUUGGCGAAAUGGUCAUCAACGAAUCGCGUCUCGAAUGACGCCAUGGAUGAUCUAUCUGGGUUUGCUGAAGAAACAUCGCGUUCAGAGCUUGCCUGAUAGCAGUACAAGUCUUCAGUUGUAUCUCAAAUCUGAUAAAUCAACACGAGCAUUUGUCGAUUCCGAUUCGGAUCAAAGCGAUAAUCCGCCCAGCCCAGACCGUUCGAAUGCAUCACGAGUAAACCGGAAAAGAAGUGUAGGACCAGAGCAGAAUACAUUAUCGGUAAACGUAUCCGAUCUGACUGAGCUUUUCAACAAAAUGGAUGUUAUUGGUAC